UGGACUGCGCUGCUGGAAAAUGACACUCGUGUUUCACACAGUUCUGGCACUGCAUGUGAUCUCUAUCUGGCAAUCUCAAAUCCGAACACUACACUUUAGCACUAAAGUAGCGACUUAAAUAGUUUAAGUAAACUACUGGAGUGACAGCAUUGUAUGGACAGGAUUUUUCUUGGCUGGGAUAGAAGUAUUAAAUAAAAAAGGUCAGGUCAAGGGUUCUUGCACCUACGCACUACCUUUAAAUGAACUGCAGACACAUAAUUGAAAACGACAAUAUGAUCUGGUCGUGAAACAUCAAAUAAAAGAAAAGAAUUGCACAAACUUUCCGUGAGGUUCAUCAGUGAUGAGUGAUGUCUAUGGUUUGGGAUUGGUGGAUAAAAUGACCACAGUAGCUGUUAAAGUUGGACAGUCGUACACUAAACAAGAGUAGAGUGAUGGAUAGGCUAUGAAUUUCACAAAAGGAUACAUUAACACCGUGAACACAUUUAUCUAAUAGAUAUUCUUCGUUCGGUUUUCAAACCUCCGUGGAAUUCAAACUGGUGACCUUGGGAUUGUAAGGAUACGUUACUUGUUCUCCGCCGUUAGACUGUGCUCCCGACAGUUUUGGAGUGUAAGAGGGUUGAUGGCAAAGUAUUUUUGGUAAAACCCAAAGGGAACAUGGGAGUGUUUUUUUUCCCAUCAGUACCCGUUGUGACUGGACAAAUACGUGAAUGAUGACGCUCUAUGGAGGGCGUUUGGCGCGUGGUGAUCAGGCUAGUCGAUGUUCGUAGUCGCCUAGACAUUUUCACUCGAUGCACAAAAGGUGGAAAACGGUUCCCAUAAACUUGUACAGGACGCUUGCUAACAAGCGAUCACGUUUUAAAAGUAGGCCAAAAAACCGCAACCGCAAAUCUAAAAAUUUCAAGCCAAUUCAGGGGAAAAAAAAACCCAAGGUCAUAUUUUAUACGCGGGCUUGGCAGCACUGAAGACCGAGCAAUUAAAUGAACUGCCUUUACACCACUGUGUGUGUUCGACCAGAGCCAGACGACGAGUAUCGGGCCUCCAAACCUCUACUUGCUUGCCAAAAAUGUGAGUUUUAUACAAGCAGCGUCGUUGCGGAAAACAAUGGACUACACAUGUAGGCAGCAAACGGAUUGGAAGUGAUACCCGGUGCACCUUUGGUGCUUGAUCUGCCAGGAACAGCAAUGGAUUGCCAACUGCUAUUCCCACAAGACCCAACAAAUUCAUCUUCCUGUGCUGUGGAGGGAACACAGAGCUGGACACGCAGUGUAGAGUUCGGACUCUGCCUGUCCUUGUGCGGGAGAUCAUCGCCCCCUCAGGAACACGGGUGCACUGCUGAAAAAGAAUGGUCUGAUCUUUUCUUUCUUUUAAAAAAAAAAAAAAACAAAAAAAAAACACUUUAAAGUAUGAGAUCACAAAAUGUGAUUGGAAUGUUCUUAACCGAACAUUCUAAUGCUGAUGGUGACAGGCGCUGCUGGUGAUGGAAAACAAUGGAGUUCUAGAACACUGAUUUAGAAUGUUGAGAUGAACAUUCCAAAAAAAAAAAAAACCUACCCAUCAAAGGAUUCAUUUUAUGUUUUAAUAGUGUAUAUAUUUUAAAAAAUACCUUCACCAGACGUUAUUGAACUCAGCUUUAUGGUGUGAGAGUCAGACUGUUUCUGAAGUGGUUACUAAGCGUGAAUCUCUUCAUUUCUUUAAUCCAGCAACGACGUCAAGUCACUGUGCAGAGAAGCAGGUGUACUAAACUGCUAUUUGAGAGCAUGGCGUGUAAUGACGUGGAUUUAGCGUUUAACUGCCUUCAGUAGGAUAGGGUCCAGGUGCCAGGGGACGCCCUCCCCCGUCAUUUGGUUGUUGAAUUUGUGAUGUGUAUAUUUAUGAGAAGUUCUGCUGAAAAUUAAACAUUUGCGAGAUAUAUCAGA